UGGAAAUAGAGCAAUACAAGUUUAAGCAUAUUUGUACACUUUGAUCCUUAAAGUGUAAAUGUUCAUAUGUGUUCUACAGAUUUCCAGCUCCCUGAAAUCAGAGAAGGUUGAAAAUGUUGAUGUGUUUAGCCAGCUAACUAAGAAAUGGAAGACCCGAAUCUGUGGUCCUGUGGAUGUUCCCCUUGGUUUUAUCACUUGGAACUGUGAUAGCUGUGGCUUCCUGAGACAGUUAUACUUUGAUAGUCACUUUUGAUAAUCACUUUAUCAUUCCUAAUGGGCUGCUUUUAAGAUGACUAGAUUUAAACCAUCUAUGCAGGUUACGAGGACAACAGUCUAAGGAGAUAAGCACAGACGUCUUGACCACCUCCACCUAUUUGGGCACAGAGGUGUUCCCAGGCCACCCGAGAGAGAUAAUAUCUCCACUGUGUCCACCAGGACCUCUGCUCUGUAGGACAUGUGUGAAACCUACCUGAAUUGAAGUGGUAGUGGCUCUCUGCUCUACUUCACCCUAUCUCAAGGGAGAGGCUAGCCACCCUUUGGAGAAAGCUAAUUUUUGCUGCUUGUAUCCAACAUUUCAUUCUUUCAGUCAAAACACAAAGCAUGUUGUUGGAGUCAAAUUGUUAAAUGUUGCCAUUAUUGUACUUAAAUUUGUAAGUCUUGGUUCAAGCCAUAUGAUCAAAGACAUUCCUUUGUUUCUGACCCCCUCCCCACCCUGUUGAAUGGUGGGGGAGACUGUAGUGUUUUAUUAUAGGCACAUCCUAGGUGAAGGUUCUGUUUUCUUGUUAAGUAAACUUCCUGCCUUUAUGACCCUAUGGUGAGCAGGAAGUCACACAAACGCACCCCCAAACACAAACCCACACACUCAUGGGCACCUACACACACACACACACACACACACACACACACACACACUCUCGCACAUGCAUACACACACACACAAUUCUUCUUUUUCUUUUACAAUUGGUGGUGCUUGUAUUCUCAGAAUAAAAGGCUGCAAGGAAGGCUGUUUAUUUGAAGUUGGCUAGGAAACAUCCUGGUUCCGACCAGCCUCCCUUGCUAGCAAGUAAAACCCGGUUCCGUCAUUGUCUUGCUUUCUUCACGAGUGAUCAGUCUCUGAACUAGCGGGUCUGCUGAAGCGAAGACCCAACACUUGUGAUCAUAGGUGAGGGUAGACACAUAGAUUGACCGAUUAAUCGACAACUUCACUUUUAUGCUCAGCUCUCUCUUCACCACCACAAACCAGUACCGCCCCCGUCUCCUGUUACUCAUGAACAAGACCUUAGGAUAUUUAAACUUCUCCAUUUGGAACGCAAUCUUGUCUCUGAACCGGAGUGGACACUUCACCCUUUCCCAGCCGUGUUAAGGUACCACCCAGCACUUUGAGUUUUGUCAUUUUUAUUUCGUUCUCAUUAUGGUUUUUAGCUGCAAGUGUUUUCAGUUUUUGUUUUGUGUUUUCUAUGUGUCCAGUUUUUCUCGGUUUGAGAUUUUCUAGCUCUCAGGUUUUGGUUUCUGUACUCCCUCUGCACUGUGUCUAGUCUCCAUCUCCAUGCUUGCUCUGGUCCCACAUCUGUGUGUUCCUGUCACUGCCUGUUUUACUUUGACAGUCUGUGUCCUAUGUUAAUGUGUCUGGUUUUGCUUUCCUUGUCUUGUUAGCUCGGCUUUGCCCCAGCUGUGUUUCCCUCCUAUCUCCCAUUCCCUGUUUGCUCCCUCUGUAUAUUUAAGCCCUGUGUUUUCCUUGGUCUGUGUUAUGAUGUCCAUCACACCUCACUUUGUUUUUUGGCUGUCUGCCUUGCAUGUCUAGUUUAUUUGUAUUCCCCAGGUUAGUUAAUUUUCCUUGUGUUCAUUAUUAAGACUGCGUUUUGAGUUCACCCUUUUCACCUCUGUGAGUCUGCACUUUUUUUAGUCCACCAGUCCUGCCUGCACACAUUACAUGACAGAAGAUCGCAGCCACACAAUGUACCCAGCAGCACUCGCCCCUUCUGAGGAGCUUCGGGAAGAUUUAAUUCAUGCAAUGGAUGUUUUGUGUGAGCAGUGGCUGAAGAGUUCUGGUAGGGAAUAUCAGUGCGUCUUGGUUGACCAGCUACAGUGACUGAUUUCCGGACUCCCCUGGCUGUUGCAGUCACUCCAAAACUAAUCUCAGAUUUCCUACUCAACAUCCUUCAUCUUCAUCCUCCGCCUUAGACUGUUAUCCAGCCCACGUCAGCUGUGGCUGUGGUCCCUGGUAUUAAACCCACAGGAGGCUGCCGUCUCUGCUGGUCCCUGCACUCGCAUCAACUCUGUUGCCAGCUCAGUCACCUGCUCAGCUACCUGUUCAGUAAGGGGCCUCUGCACCUGCUGGCAGUGUGUCUGUCACCACUGGACACCACCGCCCAGCCGUCUGUCUCCGCUGGAUCCUCCAGAGGAGUCACCCCAGCCAUCUUCUGUCUCCCCUGGAGGAUCCAAGGUACCACUUCAGCUGUCAUCUGUCUCCGCUGGAGGGCCCGAGGGGCUGCUCCAGCCAUCUGUCUCCAUUGGAGGGUUCGCUGUGAGCCUGCCAAGCACCUCUUCGGGUUCGCUUACGGCUCUGGUGAGUCUGUUCAGCCACCACCUGCGGUUCCCACGCUGUCGCCUGCAGCGCCACCACCUGCUUUUUCUACAUUGUCACCUGCAGCGCUGUCACCUGCAGCACCACCACCUGCGGUUUCCACGCCAUUGCGUGCAACGCCAGUACAUGCUCCGCCAUCUGUAGCUCCCACGCCAUUCCCUGCUGCGCCACCACCUGCAGUUCCACCACCUAAUCCAUCACCUGCGGUUGCCAUGCUGCCAUCCAUGCUAGAGGUCUCCAUGCCUGCUGCCCCUGCUUUGCCGCCGCCAUCUGGUCCUGCCUCGCCUCAUCCUGUUCGGCCUGCACGUCACCAUUGCAGGCCCCCUUCGAGGCCAUUGGCUGGGCAUUUUCGCCAUCAUGGGUGGCCUCCUGAACUGUGUGGCCACCGCUGGCUCCGCAGUCGGCCUCCAGAACUUAUCUGCUGGCUAUCCAUUCGGCCUGAUUUCCGUCUUGGGUUUUGUUCAUAUGCCUUCCCUGUCUUUUUCUUGUCUUUGUCUCAGUGUCAGGUUCACGUUUCUGUGUUAUGUUUACUGUUUUAUUUUGGUAGUCCCUGUCCUGUGUGCAGUAUGUCGGGUUUUGCUUUCCUUGUCUCGUUAGGCCUGAUUUGUCCCAGAUGUGUUUCCCUCCUUUCUCCCAUUCCAUGAUUGCUCCCUCAGUGUAUUUUAGCCCUGUGUUUUCCUUGUUCUGUGCGCAAUUUCCCUAAUUUCUCAAUGUGUUCCCUCUGUCUGCUUACCUCCUUAGUUUGUUUGUAUUCUCACUUUAGCCAGUUUUCUGUUUUGCCGUCUAGUAUUAAAACUGUGUUAUGAGUUCA